CUAGCACGUGUGAGCAUGGAAUUUCUAUUACUGCCCUCUUUAACUUAAAGGGGUUUCUUUUUCUAGCAGAGCCAGGAAUGGAUCCACACACUGUACGAGGGAAAGCUGAAGCUGUAUGUUCUGGAUUUUCUCCUAGUAGUUCUUUACAGCUUGAAGUUGAAAAACUGGUCCUUAUCUCCUGAGCUCUAUCAGGAGUGGCAUCAGUGUCAUUUUCAUCAGGAACACACCUUCUGGAAUGGGAAUGCUGCCCUGCAGGUGCCAAAACACAGGUGUUUAAGGACAUCUGAGAUGCCCUGGGGAUCCCACCUGGCCUCUCUCUGCUGAUCCAAAAGGACACAAAAUCCUUUAGAUGCUAUCCCAGCUACCCCAAAGCAUUUCCAGUGACACAGAGGUUACUCCUAAAGGUUUGGGGUUUUAUUUUGCUUUCUUUUUUUCAUUUUGGAUGUCAUUAAUUGGUGUUUGAAUUAAACCAGUGAUGUGCAUGUAGCUCCAGGUGUUUUAUUGUCCA
rnacentral:lncRNA from 1 species